AAACUACAAGCUUUCUUUGAAGCCCCUACAACAUGGGAUAUUUGAAGAAUCCCCUUUCUACAAACCUUUCUAUAAUAUAAGAGAAGCUCUUCGAGCUUUCUUCGCAUGCUUGAGCGCAUCCCCUUUCUAUUAGUAAGGUUGUCAAAUUUCCUUUAGUUCCUUUAUGACUAUAAUAUAAAUAAUAGGGGUAGGGGGGCGCUAACGAACCUUUAUACUAGUAAGGUUGUCAAAUUUCCUUUAGUUACUUUAGGACUAUAAUAUAAAUAAUAGGGGUAGGGGGCGCUAACGAGCAAGCAAACGGAUGCGCUAAGGCGCAACUUCACGCAGCUGCUACGCCCUUGCUUCUUGCCUUAUCUUUUACUAAGAAACUAAUCUAAAUAGAAGCCCUUCUUUCUCAAAGUAAACUUUCUCCCUUCUUGCUUUAGUGAAAUAAGGGGCGCUAACGCGACCUUCCUUCAGCAGGCUUCGCCCUAUCUAUUCAUCUAUUUUCUCAAAUG
rnacentral:lncRNA from 1 species